rnacentral:rRNA from 1 species
CCCGAGAUGAGUUCUCCCUGAGACUUUAAGUCUCCUGAAGGAACGUUGAAGACGACGACGUUGAUAGGCCGGGUGUGUAAGCGCAGCGAUGCGUUGAGCUAACCGGUACUAAUGAACCGUGAGGCUUAACCUU